GGCGGCAGGCCUCAAACAUGCAAGUCUAGGGGGUGUAGCAAUACAUCACCGGCGGACGGGUGCGUAACACGUGGGAAUAUACCUUUCGGUACGGAACAACUGCGGGAAACUGCAGCUAAUACCGUAUACGUCCUAGCGGAGAAAGAUUUAUCGCCGAAGGAUUAGCCCGCGUUCGAUUAGCUAGUUGGUGAGGUAAUGGCUCACCAAGGCGACGAUCGAUAGCUGUUCUGAGAGGAAGAUCAGCCACACUGGGACUGAGACACGGCCCAGACUCCUACGGGAGGCAGCAGUUGGGAAUCUUGGACAAUGGGGGAAACCCUGAUCCAGCCAUGCCGCGUGAGUGAUGAAGGCCUUCGGGUUGUAAAACUCUUUCGACGGGGACGAUAAUGACGGUACCCGUAGAAGAAGCUCCGGCUAACUUCGUGCCAGCAGCCGCGGUAAUACGAAGGGGGCUAGCGUUGUUCGGAAUUACUGGGCGUAAAGCGCGCGCAGGCGGCUAUCCAAGUCAGUGGUGAAAGCCCGGAGCUCA
rnacentral:rRNA from 1 species